CCUACGGGAGGCAGCAGUGAGGAAUAUUGGUCAAUGGGCGCGAGCCUGAACCAGCCAAGUCGCGUGAGGGAAGACGGUCCUAUGGAUUGUAAACCUCUUUUGUCGGGGAGCAAAAGACGCCACGCGUGGCGUUCCGAGAGUACCCGAAGAAAAAGCAUCGGCCAACUCCGUGCCAGCAGCCGCGGUAAUAUGGAGGAUGCGAGCGUUAUCCGGAUUUAUUGGGUUUAAAGGGUGCGCAGGCGGAAGAUCAAGUCAGCGGUAAAAUUGAGAGGCUCAACCUCUUCGAGCCGUUGAAACUGGUUUUCUUGAGUGAGUGAGAAGUAUGCGGAAUGCGUGGUGUAGCGGUGAAAUGCAUAGAUAUCACGCAGAACUCCGAUUGCGAAGGCAGCAUGCCGGCGCUCAACUGACGCUCAUGCACGAAAGUGUGGGUAUCGAACAGGAUUAGAUACCCGGGUAGUC
rnacentral:rRNA from 1 species